UCCCACCGUUUUCCCCCCUCACAACCCCCUGUCCAUUCCCCCGAUUGCCCCCUUCAACCCCUCAAGUUCUUCUCUGCAACGCCUCCCUCCACCCUCAGACCCAGUUUCCACCCCACAGAAGCCCCACUUAUCCCUUCCUUUCUCCUUUCCACAACGCCUCCAUCCACCCCUGGAGUUAUUCAGGAGGAUCUGCAGAUGUCCCAGAGGAGUCUUGGUGUGUCCAGGGGGUCCCCAUGUGGGUCUGGGUGGUCUGGAGGUGUCCCAGAGGGAUCUUGGGGUGACCAGGGGAUCCAGGAGUCCUCCAGAGGUCUCAAGUGGGGAUUUUGGGAACAAAAAUGCAGUGGCACAUCCCCCCUCCCACUCCAUCCUAGUGAGAUUGCGCUGAUAAACUUCAAUUUUUGGUAAAAUAAACAAAAUACUGUUUUUUUUAAAUCUUUUCCCCUCACCUCCCUGCAGAAACUGACAGUUCCUGCCAAACCCCCAUGCAAAGCCCCACCCAAGCAAACCCCCCAGGGCCACCGGGUGAUGCCAUCCCAACCGCUGGUGACACUGGAACAAGUGCCCGUCCCCAAAUCUGUCACUGUCACCGUGGAACCUGGCGCCGUCCCAACCCCCAUCUACACUGAGAGCCCCGUCAGCGUCCUACGGCUCCUGGAGCUGGGUGCUGCCAUCACCCUGACUGUCCCCAGCUGUCCUCCCUGCUGUGGUGGCACAAUUGGAGUACGGUGACAUCGUCAUCAAAGAGGUGGCCUGCCUACAAUCGGACCGGUAACUCCGGAGCCCUCCAGCGCUGUCACCAUCAUCUGCCACGGGGACGCGGUGGUGUACUCUGUGCUACCGCUGGAGGGGACCGUGUGUGACAUCAGCGCGGAACAGCCGUGAUGCGGUGUCAUCGUCAUUGGGUGUUGCUUCUGUCAACCGGCAUCGGGUGUCACCGUCACGUGGAGGGGACAGAAGGACCCCCUGGGGCCCUGGGGACGUUGCGCCGAAGUUGGGGACACCGUGACAAGCUCAAAGACUUCCCAGGGAAAGUGGGGACGCUGUGUCAUGGUGUCACACCCCCGAAGUUAGGGCAUCCCUUUGGGAGCACCCCCGUGUCACCCCCGCAGUGUCACACCCUAGACUUCGGGACACCCCAACAUUGGGGACACCCUCCUGUCACCCCUACCAUGUCACACCCCAAAGCUGGGGGCAUCCCUGUGUAACCCCCCGCAGUGUCACAGCCCAAAGUUGGGGACACCCCUCUGGGUUCGCCCCCCAGACCGCACUGUUUCCAUGGGGUGAGGGUGGGAAAGGUGCACCUUAUUUUUGUAACUAGGGUUUAUUUGGUGAUAACAGGGGGUUGGGGGAUGCUCCCCCCCUCUCCCCCUGUGCCCCCAGGUGAAUAAAGGGCAGAGGAGCGGC